rnacentral:rRNA from 1 species
GAGUGGACGCAUCACUGGUGUUCGGGUCGUCAUGCCAAUGGCACUGCCCGGUAGCUAAAUGCGGAAGAGAUAAGUGCUGAAAGCAUCUAAGCACGAAACUUGCCCCGAGAUGAGUUCUCCCUGACUCCUUGAGAGUCCUGAAGGAACGUUGAAGACGACGACGUUGAUAGGCCGGGUGUGUAAGCGCAGCGAUGCGUUGAGCUAACCGGUACUAAUGAACCGUGAGGCUUAACCUUACAACGCCGAAG